UUGCAGUUAAAAAGCUCGUAGUCGGAUGUCGGGCUCGGGCAAGCUGUCGGCCUUUGGUCGGACGGCAGGCUCGGGUCUUUCUGCCUGAGGAACCCGGUUGCUUUAACGAGCUGCCGGUGGACGCAGGUCGUUUACUUUGAAAAAAUUAGAGUGUUCAAAGCAGGCUAGCGCUUGAAUACAUUAGCAUGGAAUAAUGGAAUAGGACUUUGGUGCUAUUUUGUUGGUUUAUGGGACCGAAGUAAUGAUUAACAGGGACAGUUGGGGCCGUUUAUAUUUCGUUGUCAGAGGUGAAAUUCUUGGAUUUACGAAAGAUAAACUUCUGCGAAAGCAUUCGGCAAGGAUGUUUUCAUUGAUCAAGAACGAAAGUUAGGGGAUCGAAGACGAUCAGAUACCGUCGUAGUCUUAACCAUAAACUAUGCCGACUAGGGAUCAGUGGAUGUCAAUUUGCGACUCCAUUGGCACCUUGUGAGAAAUCAAAGUUUUUGGGUUCCGGGGGGAGUAUGGUCGCAAGGCUGAAACUUAAAGGAAUUGACGGAAGGGCACCACCAGGAGUGGAGCCUGCGGCUUAAUUUGACUCAACACGGGGAAACUUACCAGGUCCAGACAUAGUAAAGAUUGACAGAUUGAAAGCUCUUUCU
rnacentral:rRNA from 1 species